ensembl:lncRNA
CGUGGACAAAGUGUAGGUUAAAUAAGAUUUAUUUGACAGUUGGGAGAUUAUAAUUUCCUAUCAGAUAGGAAACACCUAUGUUUUAGCAUCUGGACCUCACUGAGCUUGCGCUGGUGUUUCGUUCGUAACCAAUCAGAAACAACGAACGAAUCUUUAAUUACUCUUUUUUUUGACUCUGGUUUUAAAGAAUCGGUUGAGUGAAUGACUCACUAAAGGGUUCUAUCGAUGAUUCAUUCAUAAAACACAGAUACGUUCACUUGCCGCCGCCUGCUGGUGUAGCAGUUAAUCGCGGUCUUAAUUUCAACAGCAAAGAAUGGUUAAACAAGUUUAAAGACUCAGACGAGGCCCAGUUAGUUCCGCUGGACUCUGAGAAGAAUGUAAAAUGAAAAUGCACAACCGAAAGAAAGGAUAUGGUUUUAAGGAGGACCGUAUGUUCAAACAUUAACGUUUUUAGAGUGGUGGGAAGUUUCGUGUAUCCCACAUGUCCGGGGCAGAGUGACACAUGUUUAAAGAUAUCCCUUUCCUUUUCCUCACCACUGUGCAGUGAAAGAGUCCUAGUGUCUUCAUGAAAGUUUGACCUGAUCAUUGGAAAGUCAUGGAGGACAGAACAUGG